rnacentral:rRNA from 1 species
GUAAUGCCGGAUGCUCCAGUUGAUCGCAUGGUCUUCUGGGAAAGCUUUCGCGGUAUGGGAUGGGGUCGCGUCCUAUCAGCUUGACGGCGGGGUAACGGCCCACCGUGGCUUCGACGGGUAGCCGGCCUGAGAGGGCGACCGGCCACAUUGGGACUGAGAUACGGCCCAGACUCCUACGGGAGGCAGCAGUGGGGAAUAUUGCACAAUGGGCGCAAGCCUGAUGCAGCGACGCCGCGUGAGGGAUGGAGGCCUUCGGGUUGUAAACCUCUUUUAUCGGGGAGCAAGCGAGAGUGAGUUUACCCGUUGAAUAAGCACCGGCUAACUACGUGCCAGCAGCCGCGGUAAUACGUAGGGUGCAAGCGUUAUCCGGAAUUAUUGGGCGUAAAGGGCUCGUAGGCGGUUCGUCGCGUCCGGUGUGAAAGUCCAUCGCUUAACGGUGGAUCCGCGCCGGGUACGGGCGGGCUUGAGUGCGGUAGGGGAGACUGGAAUUCCCGGUGUAACGGUGGAAUGUGUAG